rnacentral:lncRNA from 1 species
GGAGGCUCUUGUUUCUUGUUCUGCAUUAAUUCUUGCUUUCAUGUUGACUUCUAGCUCCAGCCUGGACCACAAGAACUCCAACACCUGGUGUCUCUACUGCUCCUCUAGCACCAGCACAUACACAGAGCCUCAAAACAGGUAAAAUGUGAACUAGAUGGGAGGCUGUAGACCCUAUGGGGCAUUGUGGACUCUAAGGACCAUCCCUCUGACUGGUUUCCUAUAAGGGACUUCAGUACAAAUAUGAGAUGAUGCUUAUUUUUCAGUGUAGCUUCUCCUCAUCCAGUAUUAUCUUCAUAGCCCUCCCCCAUCAGAACAUCUGCUUGCCAUUGGUGAAGACCUCAUGCAGGAAAGGUGGCCCUGCUUAGAGACAGUCUAGCAUGGAUGUGCUCAGCUACAUUGCAGCAGGAGUUUCCUGUUUCUUGUUCCCCCAUUAAUCUUGCUUUCAUGUUGAUUUCUAACUCCAGCCAUAACCACAAGAGCUGCAACAACACCGAGUAUCUCUACUACUCCUCCAACACCAGCACAUACACAGAGCUCCAUAACAGAAAUCACUCCACCUGUUCCAACUCAAGCAGAAGAGACACAGCCUACAAUACUUCAGGAAACAAAGCCUCAGCCCCCCACCUCCUCCCCAGACUCUGGCCCAACAGGUAACUUCAUUCUGUCUCCUGAACACAGGGAGCCUAUAUAUAGAUCUUGGUAGCUGUUG